GACGAACGCUGGCGGCGUGCUUAACACAUGCAAGUCGAACGGCAAGGCCCUGCUUUUGUGGGGUGCUCGAGUGGCGAACGGGUGAGUAACACGUGAGUAACCUGCCCUUGACUUUGGGAUAACUUCAGGAAACUGGGGCUAAUACCGGAUAGGAGCUCCUGCUGCAUGGUGGGGGUUUGAAAGUUUCGGCGGUUGGGGAUGGACUCGCGGCUUAUCAGCUUGUUGGUGGGGUAGUGGCUUACCAAGGCUUUGACGGGUAGCCGGCCUGAGAGGGUGACCGGCCACAUUGGGACGAAGAGACGCCCCAGACUCCUACGGGAGGCAGCAGUGGGGAGUAUUGCACAAUGGGCGGAAGCCUGAUGAAGCAACGCCGCGUGCGGGAUGACGGCCUGCGGGUUGUAAACCGCUUUCGCCUGUGACGAAGCGUGAGUGACGGUAAUGGGUAAAGAAGCACCGGCUAACUACGUG
rnacentral:rRNA from 1 species